rnacentral:rRNA from 1 species
GUUAUAGGGUCAAGCGAACAAGUGCAUGUGGUGGAUGCCUUGGCGAUCACAGGCGAUGAAGGACGCGGUAGCCUGCGAAAAGCUACGGGGAGCUGGCAAACAAGCUUUGAUCCGUAGAUGUCCGAAUGGGGAAACCCACUCCUUUUGGAGUAUCCAUGGCUGAAUACAUAGGCCAUGCGAAGCGAACGCGGUGAACUGAAACAUCUAAGUAACCGCAGGAAAAGAAAUCAACCGAGAUUCCCAAAGUAGUGGCGAGCGAAAUGGGAUGAGCCUUGCACUCUUUAUUUGUAUUGUUAGCCGAACGCUCUGGAAAGUGCGGCCAUAGCAGGUGAUAGCCCUGUAGGCGAAAACAGUAUGAAAGAACUAGGUGUGCGACAAGUAGGGCGGGACACGUGAAAUCCUGUCUGAAGAUGGGGGGACCAUCCUCCAAGGCUAAAUACUCGUGAUCGACCGAUAGUGAACCAGUACCGUGAGGGAAAGGCGAAAAGAACCCCGGGAGGGGAGUGAAAUAGAUCCUGAAAC